rnacentral:rRNA from 1 species
CCCUUAGAUGUCCUGGGCCGCACGCGCGCUACAAUGACUCACUCAGAAAGUUUUUCCUGAUCCGGAAGGAUUCGGGUAAUCUUCAUAGCAUGAGUCGUGUUUGGGAUCGAUCUUUGCAAUUAUAGAUCUUGAACGAGGAAUGCCUAGUAAGUGCAGCUCAUCAGGCUGUACUGAUUACGUCCCUGCCCUUUGUACACACCGCCCGUCGCUCCUACCGAUUGAGUGGUCCGGUGAACCUUCUGGAUUAAGCAGCAAUGCUUGAGAAGUUAGGUAAACCUUAUCACUUAGAGGAAGGAGAAGUCGUAACA